rnacentral:rRNA from 1 species
CCGGGACCCUGCGUGGCGGGUAGUUUGACUGGGGCGGUCGCCUCCCAAAGAGUAACGGAGGCGCGCGAAGGUUGGCUCAGAGCGGUCGGAAAUCGCUCGUUGAGUGCAAUGGCAUAAGCCAGCCUGACUGUGAGACUGACAGGUCGAACAGAGUCGAAAGACGGCCAUAGUGAUCCGGUGGUCCCGCGUGGAAGGGCCAUCGCUCAACGGAUAAAAGGUACGCCGGGGAUAACAGGCUGAUACUGCCCAAGAGUCCAUAUCGACGG